UUCUUUUCAUGACUUAAAAGGAUUCUUUUCCUUUUAUAAGCUGAAUUAGUCAUUAUGUGGUAAAAAAUGAGUCCACCAAAUGACUUGGAGCUGACUAUGUAACUAAGCGCAAUUAUAGGAUAGUAUUGGAUCAAGUUGUGAUUUAAAGUUCACAUUCUGUCAAAAUGAGCUUCCCUUUUCUCUCUCAUUUUUGAAGAUAAAGCUACUUGAAUUUUCUGUAUCUGUUAUAAUUCCAAUAGGGUUGGGGUUUUUUUUAAGUAUUCAUUUAGCUGUGUUUGACCUCUCAGUACUGCUAAUGGAUGGGAGGGAAUAGGAUGGAGGGAAGUUUAGGUUUUCUGUUGUGUAAGCUGAGACAAAGGUUUCAAGCUGUAAAUAAUCUUACAUCAUCCCAAACAAUUAGAGGUACUUUUUAUCUCAGCAGUAUUUGUGGUACUAAAGCAUUGAUAUCAGCACAUGUUACCUUUUAAGGCAUGUAAAAAUUUUGAUUAGGAGUAUGCUCCCAAAUUUUGUACUGAGAUAACCAAGUUAAGGUUCGCACUGAGAGCAGGACUGCUGCAAGCUGCAAUGGUGAUCCACUGAGAACAAGAAACCCUUUGAUCACAGAUUGAACCCACACAUCAUAUCUGCAGGCUGACUUUUUGUAUGGCCUAAUCUUGUUUGGGGGAUGGGGAUGUCUGGGAGGCUCCUUUACAUUAUUAUUUCUUUUGUUUUCUAUGUAUGGGCCGUUCAAUUAAGUGUUGGACUCGAUGAUCCUUGUAGGUCCCUUCCAACUCAGAAUAUUCUGUGAUUGUUUUCCUUGCAUUUCCAGUACGUGAUCUCUCAUUUCUCUUUUCUUAGACACUAACAGUAUCCCCUGAACCCUCUCCAUGUCUGUGACUUGUUUCUUCUAAUGCUGCUCAGCCUCCAUCCUAUUCAGCUGACCAUGGCAAUGAGGAGUCAGGCCAGGCUCUACUAGUGGCCCAAGUUGUAGAAAGUAGUCGUUGCAGAUAAUUAAACACAAGUACUGCUAAGGAGGCUAUGAAACACUUGUAAUCUGCUGUUGAUUCAGUUGUUUUUUUUAAAUCAAAGCACUUACUUAUCCAGCAUAUUUUUCUGUUUCAGAAUCUUGUAGACUUCAGCUGAGGUCUGAGGACCUUGCAGCUUUUGUCCAUUCAGCAUCUCGUUUUCCAGUUCCUCAAUGGACUAGAAGAGAGAAGACUGAUUACUUGGAUCAGAGGGGAUACUGCUGUGAUACCAGCAGCUAUCAAGAAGAUAAACAGCUAAUGAUGCCUUUGUAAAACACAGGAUUUCUUCAUACAAGGAUCCACAGAUAAUGAAGUUGAACGUGUGCACUGCUGGAAGCCUUUUCCUACCAGUUCUAUGGAGGCCACAUAUCAUGUCUUUACAGUGCUUGCCCAAGGAGAGCCCCAUGUGGUAAAGGGAUUGAGGACUGAACUCUCCAGAAAUAAUCCUGCCUCCCUGAAGGAGCUCAGCAGGUAUUGCUCUGCUCUGGAACCACCUGGGACCUGUCACAUCCCCCUGCUUCCUCCAGAUGUUAUCUUGUUGCCCAGCCACAGGUGAUACUAAACCCCAGCUACCAGCUCAAAUUGACUCUUUGCAAUAGUUACCAAUGGUGGUUUCACAGAACUUCUCGUCAGCCACUUCCUUGGCUAUGUUGGCCCCCAUAAGGACACUGAUUUCUAUUUUCAGGUGCUCUCGAAUGAGGUCAGAGAUGAGCUUCAGGCCAUCAGGACCAUCAUCAAUCCCCUAAAUAAAAGACAAUAGUCAAAGCCAAGGUAUUAGAAUAGGAAAAUGACAGCAGCAGACCACUGGUAAAGUAGAAGGUAUUCUAUUGCCUGCAGCUCUUGUUUUAAUUGGAAAAAAAUGGGGUCUUAUAUUCACUAGUGUUACCCAUGAAUACAAAUACCCUGGGUUUGUACUUUCAUAACUGCAAAAUCAAGGCAAGUUCAGGGAGAAGGAGUGGCAGUCGAGGUAACCUUGCGAGAGGCCUCACAUCCAGUGCUGCUGUCCCAAGGCUUGCUUUCUUUGGUUCUGUGUUUUUCCUUUCUGUUAAAUUCCUGUAGUACAGAAUCAAACCUUUAAAAUAAGCCUAUGAGCUGUGGCUUCUUCAGUAUUAAUCUGAUUGUUUCUUUGGUAUUGAGGAGUAUACUGAACUGUCUUUUUUUUUUUUUUUUUUUUUACUGAUCUGGUUUUUUUUUUUAAGUUA